UACAGAGGUCCCGAGCGUUGUUCGGAUUCACUGGGCGUAAAGGGUGCGUAGGCGGCGCGGUAAGUCGGGUGUGAAAUUUCGAGGCUUAACUUCGAAACUGCAUUCGAUACUGCCGUGCUUGAGGACUGGAGAGGAGACUGGAAUUUACGGUGUAGCGGUGAAAUGCGUAGAUAUCGUAAGGAAGACCAGUGGCGAAGGCGGGUCUCUGGACAGUUCCUGACGCUGAGGCACGAAGGCCAGGGGAGCAAACGGG
rnacentral:rRNA from 1 species